rnacentral:pre_miRNA from 1 species
AGUGGGAUAGCUGAGUCAAAUGGUGGUUUCAUUACAAGUUUUCUAAGGAAUCUCCAUAUUGCUUUCCAAAGUGGUUGCACUGUUUUGCAAUCCCACCAGCAGU